rnacentral:rRNA from 1 species
GAUGAACGCUGGCGGCGUGCCUAAUACAUGCAAGUCGAGCGAACAGACGAGGAGCUUGCUCCUCUGACGUUAGCGGCGGACGGGUGAGUAACACGUGGAUAACCUACCUAUAAGACUGGGAUAACUUCGGGAAACCGGGGCUAAUACCGGAUAAUAUAUUGAACCGCAUGGUUCAAUAGUGAAAGACGGUUUUGCUGUCACUUAUAGAUGGAUCCGCGCCGCAUUAGCUAGUUGGUAAGGUAACGGCUUACCAAGGCAACGAUGCGUAGCCGACCUGAGAGGGUGAUCGGCCACACUGGAACUGAGACACGGUCCAGACUCCUACGGGAGGCAGCAGUAGGGAAUCUUCCGCAAUGGGCGAAAGCCUAACGGAGCAACGCCGCGUGAGUGAUGAAGGUCUUCGGAUCGUAAAACUCUGUUAUUAGGGAAGAACAAAUGUGUAAGUAACUAUGCACGUCUUGACGGUACCUAAUCAGAAAGCCACGGCUAACUACGUG